GGGGUGCUCGAGUAGCGAACGGGUGAGUAACACGUGAGUAACCUGCCCUUGACUUUGGGAUAACUUCAGGAAACUGGGGCUAAUACCGGAUAGGAGCUCCUGCUGCAUGGUGGGGGUUGGAAAGUUUCGGCGGUUGGGGAUGGACUCGCGGCUUAUCAGCUUGUUGGUGGGGUAGUGGCUUACCAAGGCUUUGACGGGUAGCCGGCCUGAGAGGGUGACCGGCCACAUUGGGACUGAGAUACGGGCCCAG
rnacentral:rRNA from 1 species